UACGGAGGGGGCUAGCGUUGUUCGGAAUCACUGGGCGUAAAGGGCUGUGUAGGCGGCUGGAUAAGUGGGAUGUUAAAUCCCCCGGCUCAACCGGGGACCUGCAUCUCAUACUGUUCAGCUCGAGCACAUCAGAGGAGACUGGAAUUCCCGGAUGUAGCGGUGAAAUGCGGCAGAUAUCGGGAGGAACACCUAUGGCGAAGGCAGCUCGCUGGGACGUUACUGGACGCUGGAGAACGCGAAAGCGUGGGGAGCAAACAGG
rnacentral:rRNA from 1 species